rnacentral:rRNA from 1 species
AUCUAUAGACACACCACCCUAGACACAUACAGUCACAUUUCAUCUUGGAAGCUAAGCAGGGCUGGGCCUGGCUGGUACUUGGAUAGGAGAUCACAUUAGGGAAUGGGACAGUAAAAG